rnacentral:rRNA from 1 species
AACGUAGGUGGCAAGCGUUAUCCGGAAUUACUGGGCGUAAAGGGUGUGCAGGCGGGAGUGCAAGUGGUGUAUGAAAACGUCCGGCUUAACCGGGCGCUGUUAUGCCAGACUGCAGUUCUAGAGGACGAGAGAGGGGGCGUGGAAUUCCGGGUGUAGUGGUGAAAUGCGCAGAUAUCGGGAGGAACACCAGUAGCGAAGGCGGCACUCUGGGCCGGUACUGACGCUGAGGAGCGAAAGCGUGGGGAGCGAACAGG